GCUUCCUUGGUGUAGUUGGCUAUCACGUGAGUCUCAUAGUACAUCUGUGAUCUAAUGAUAUAUAAACAUUAGAGUAAUCUCAAGGUCGCCAGUUCGAUCCUGGCAGGGAGCA